rnacentral:rRNA from 1 species
UAAGGUGGUUAUAGCGACGGGGCUCACCUCUUACCAUUCCGAACAGAGUAGUUAAGCCCGUUUGCGCCGAUGGUACUACUUUACUGUGGAAGAGUAGGUCGCCGCCUUUUUUAAGAACCCUUACUAGAUAACUAGUAAGGGUUUUUUGUUUUUUACA